rnacentral:rRNA from 1 species
AGAAMCCAGUGCGAGGCACUUCUGUCGUACUACACUAGCGGAAGCGUGGAGCAACAGAAUAGAUACCUGUAGUCACGCGUAACGAUAGUGCUAGUGUAGAGGUUUCCGCCCUUAGUGCUGAGUUAACGCAUUAGCACUCCGCCUGGGAGUACGGCCGCAGGCUGAACUCAAAGGAAUUGACGGGGCCCGCACAAGCGGUGGAGCAUGUGGUUUAAUUCGAAGCAACGCGAAGAACCUUACCAGGUCUUGACAUCCUCUGAAAACCCUAGAGAUAGGGCUUCUCCUUCGGGAGCAGAGUGACAGGUGGUGCAUGGUUGUCGUCAGCUCGUGUCGUGAGAUGUUGGGUUAAGUCCCGCAACGAGCGCAACCCUUGAUCUUAGUUGCCAUCAUUAAGUUGGGCACUCUAAGGUGACUGCCGGUGACAAACCGGAGGAAGGUGGGGAUGACGUCAAAUCAUCAUGCCCCUUAUGACCUGGGCUACACACGUGCUACAAUGGACGGUACAAAGAGCUGCAAGACCGCGAGGUGGA